UCCCMCCCCCCUAGAGGAGCCUGUUCUAUAAUCGAUAAUCCCCGCUACACCUCACCAUUUUUAGCCUUUCAGCCUGUAUACCUCCGUCGCAAGCUUACCAUGUGAACGUUACCAGUAAGCCCAAUGGCCCUCCCACCAACACGUCAGGUCAAGGUGCAGCUCAUGAAAUGGAAAGCAAUGGGCUACAAUUUCUAGCGUAGAACAAACGAAAAACUGUAUGAAACACAGUUAUGAAGGUGGAUUUAGUAGUAAAAAGAAAUCAGAGAGU
rnacentral:rRNA from 1 species